GAAAUAUUCAGUCUGUUUCAUCAUUGUGAAAUAAUAGAAUUAUUUUAACCUCCCUUUUGUUUGCCUAUUAUGGGAAUUAAACCAAGAUCCCCAUCGAUGGAGAAUGCUGACCACUGUCAGGUAGACCUCAGGCAAAAAGAAACUGAAGACUGAACUCAGGCUGUUUUAAAUUUCUUCCCAAGGAGCCUGGAGACAGUCACACCUGCAGGCGACCAAUCUUGCUAGACUCGUCACACUGACCCAGUCUGUUGUGACUUGCUCUCAUGACUUGACUCUGGCAUAGCACCACUUGAUGAUUAAUAGUUUUCCUUAUCUUAACAAAUAAAUGUUAACACCAAGCCUUAACAUACCUUUCUGCUGACCCCAAGGUUUUAGACAAAGGCUUGUUCCCUUAGCCAGUUGCAAAUCAGAGAAUCUCUAAAUCCACCUGGGACCUGUUAGCCCCUGCUUCAAGAUAUCCUCCCUUUGCAGAACAAGUCAAUGUAUAACCUCCACGUAUUGAUUUAUGAGUUUGCCUAUUACUUCUGUUUUCCUGAAAUGUACCCCUGUCUUUAAAAACGCUUGUAAGCCAC
rnacentral:lncRNA from 1 species